rnacentral:rRNA from 1 species
UACGGGGGGGGCAAGCGUUGUUCGGAAUUACUGGGCGUAAAGGGCUCGUAGGUGGCCAACUAAGUCAGACGUGAAAUCCCUCGGCUUAACCGGGGAACUGCGUCUGAUACUGGAUGGCUUGAGUUUGGGAGAGGGAUGCGGAAUUCCAGGUGUAGCGGUGAAAUGCGUAGAUAUCUGGAGGAACACCGGUGGCGAAGGCGAGUCCCUGGACAAAACCUGACACUGAGGCACGAAAGCUAGGGGAGCAAACAGG